rnacentral:lncRNA from 1 species
AAAAAAAAAAUACACCAAAUUAUUCUGGGUGGUAUUGAAAACUGCUUUGGGCUUGUUUGUUUACAUUGGAUGCUUAGCUUUCUUUUCAUGGGAACAGUGGGGAAAAGAAAGCACUGGUACCCCCAGCAGCCUCACCUGUCUGUUUCCCUCUGCCUCAGCUUCGUGAUGGUCAACAGCGUGGCGCUGAACGGGGACGGCUGUGGCAUCUGCUCUGAAGCAGAAGCAGAGCUCAUUGAAGUUUCUCACAGACUGAACUGCUCCCGCGAGGCACGUGGCUCCCGCCGGUGUGGACCUGGGCCUCUGCUGCCCAUGUCUGACCCCGUCCUCCUGCAGGUGAGCUGGGGGAGGAAGGGGCUCAUGGCGGACAGCAGGCAGCCUGCAGUUUCACGACAGCCACCUGAACUCCUCUCUCCACCCCGGACAGCAUUAUCCUCUGUAUCGGAGAAGUGAUGCUAACUGUUCUGGGGACGAUGCUGCUCCUCCGGAGGAAAGGGACAUCCCAUUUAAGGAGAACUAUGACGUGCUUUCACGGGAGGCAUCACAAAAGGUUUGCCAGGGUGUCAUGAUGCUAAUUCAUGUCGCAUUGUGACUCUCAUCACCUUGCAUGUCAGCAAGCAGAGCGCCCAGGCUAGAGCAGGUGUUUGCUGAAACGUUGAUGACUUAGUUAUCACCUGGGGACGGGGUGGAUGGAGGCCUGGCCUUCACAGCACCAUCAGUUAAUUGCUUUCUUUUUUUUUUUUCCAGUAAACCUACUUCUAUUUCCUACCCUGAAGUCAAUAAUAGUCUUAGCUAUUCUUUGUAUUCAGAGUUUUUUACCAACUUGAAUGUGUUUAGAAAUGUGAAUGGAACUUGGAAGAAUCAAAAUUUUAGGGACUUAAUUAAAAUUAAUG